CGGGCCGUAGUUCAGCUUGGUAGAACGCUUGAAUGGGGUUCAAGAGGUCGCGGGUUCAAAUCCCGCCGGCCCGA
rnacentral:tRNA from 1 species